ACGAACGCUGGCGGCGUGGAUAAGACAUGCAAGUCGAACGAGAGAAUUGCUAGCUUGCUAAUAAUUCUCUAGUGGCGCACGGGUGAGUAACACGUGAGUAACCUGCCCCCGAGAGCGGGAUAGCCCUGGGAAACUGGGAUUAAUACCGCAUAGUAUCGAAAGAUUAAAGCAGCAAUGCGCUUGGGGAUGGGCUCGCGGCCUAUUAGUUAGUUGGUGAGGUAACGGCUCACCAAGGCGAUGACGGGUAGCCGGUCUGAGAGGAUGUCCGGCCACACUGGAACUGAGACACGGUCCAGACACCUACGGGUGGCAGCAGUCGAGAAUCAUUCACAAUGGGGGAAACCCUGAUGGUGCGACGCCGCGUGGGGGAAUGAAGGUCUUCGGAUUGUAAACCCCUGUCAUGUGGGAGCAAAUUAAAAAGAUAGUACCACAAGAGGAAGAGACGGCUAACUCUGUGCCAGCAGCCGCGGUAAUACAGAGGUCUCAAGCGUUGUUCGGAAUCACUGGGCGUAAAGCGUGCGUAGGCUGUUUCGUAAGUCGUGUGUGAAAGGCGCGGGCUCAACCCGCGGACGGCACAUGAUACUGCGAGACUAGAGUAAUGGAGGGGGAACCGGAAUUCUCGGUGUAGCAGUGAAAUGCGUAGAUAUCGAGAGGAACACUCGUGGCGAAGGCGGGUUCCUGGACAUUAACUGACGCUGAGGCACGAAGGCCAGGGGAGCGAAAGGGAUUAGAUACCCCUGUAGUCCUGGCAGUAAACGGUGCACGCUUGGUGUGCGGGGAAUCGACCCCCUGCGUGCCGGAGCUAACGCGUUAAGCGUGCCGCCUGGGGAGUACGGUCGCAAGAUUAAAACUCAAAGAAAUUGACGGGGACCCGCACAAGCGGUGGAGUAUGUGGCUUAAUUCGAUGCAACGCGAAGAACCUUACCUGGGCUUGACAUGUAAUGAACAACAUGUGAAAGCAUGCGACUCUUCGGAGGCGUUACACAGGUGCUGCAUGGCCGUCGUCAGCUCGUGUCGUGAGAUGUUUGGUUAAGUCCAGCAACGAGCGCAACCCCUGUUGCCAGUUACCAGCACGUGAAGGUGGGGACUCUGGCGAGACUGCCCAGAUCAACUGGGAGGAAGGUGGGGACGACGUCAGGUCAGUAUGGCCCUUAUGCCCAGGGCUGCACACGUACUACAAUGCCCAGUACAGAGGGGGCCGAAGCCGCGAGGCGGAGGAAAUCCUAAAAACUGGGCCCAGUUCGGACUGUAGGCUGCAACCCGCCUACACGAAGCCGGAAUCGCUAGUAAUGGCGCAUCAGCUACGGCGCCGUGAAUACGUUCCCGGGUCUUGUACACACCGCCCGUCACACCAUGGGAGUUGGGAAUGCCCGAAGCCAGUGACCUAACCGAAAGGAAGGAGCUGUCGAAGGCAGGCUCGAUAACUGGGGUG
rnacentral:rRNA from 1 species